UGCGUGCCGCGGGGAAUGCCGGGAGCGCGCAGUGGCGGUAGCGGCGGCGACGGCAGUCACAGCGGCGGCUACAACGGGGACGCGAGCGGGGCGGUGACCGUGUGGGAGGUGGUCUCACUCUUGGGGAAGCUGUUAGGCACCGUCGCCGCGCUGAAGGUGGUUCUGUACCUGCUCCGGGUGUGCUUAGCGAUGGCCUGGAAAUCCGGCGGCGCCAGCCACUCGGAGCUAAUCCACAACCUCCGCAAAAAUGGAAUCAUCAAGACAGAUAAAGUAUUUGAAGUAAUGCUGGCCACAGACCGCUCCCACUAUGCAAAAUGUAACCCCUAUAUGGAUUCUCCACAAUCAAUAGGGUUCCAAGCAACAAUCAGUGCUCCACAUAUGCAUGCGUAUGCACUAGAACUUCUCUUUGAUCAAUUGCAUGAAGGAGCUAAAGCUCUUGAUGUAGGAUCUGGAAGUGGAAUCCUUACUGCAUGUUUUGCACGUAUGGUUGGAUCUAGUGGAAAAGUCAUAGGAAUUGACCACAUUAAAGAGCUAGUAGAUGACUCAAUAAAUAAUGUCAGAAAGGACGAUCCAAUGCUUUUGUCUUCAGGGAGAGUGCAGCUGGUUGUGGGGGAUGGAAGAAUGGGAUAUGCCGAAGAAGCACCUUAUGAUGCUAUUCAUGUAGGAGCUGCAGCCCCAGUUGUGCCCCAGGCACUAAUAGACCAGUUAAAGCCUGGUGGAAGAUUGAUAUUGCCAGUUGGUCCUGCAGGUGGAAACCAGAUGUUGGAGCAGUAUGACAAGCUACAAGAUGGCAGUGUCAAAAUGAAACCUCUGAUGGGAGUGAUAUACGUGCCUUUAACAGAUAAAGAAAAGCAGUGGUCCAGGAUUUCCAGUUCUAUGUUGAAUAAAAGUGGCGAGAGUGGGCAUCCUUGUCUUGUUCCUGAUUUUAGAGGAAAAGCUUUCAGCUUUUCACCGUUGAAUGUGAUGUUAGCUGUGGGCUUGUCAUAUGUGGCCUUUAUUAUGCUGAGUUGCUGGUACAGUGCUGCACCUGGCUGAGCGAAUGGUUUCUUUUGGAGCUGAUAAAGCUGCCUUAUGAAAUCAGCUGACAGGGACGAACUGUAAAAGCAACAUCAGCUUGACCAGUAUAUAAUAUUACAGUGGAUUGCUCAUCUCAGUCCUCAAAGCUUUUCGAAAAUCAACAGCAUCACAGCUUGUUUUGGACUUUCUUACACUAUUUUCAGCAUGAAAAUGUGUGGUUUUGUGAAGUUUCUGAUUCUUCAAAGAGGCACAGAAGCCAAAUUGGUAGAAGAAGGGUGCAAAGUAUAAUUUUGUGUAUUAUUACUUUAACAUGCCCACAGUUUACUUUAAAUAUUAAAAGAAGGGGUUCUGCAAAAUGAGGAACUUAGUUCGUCAAUUGAUUUUGAGGAGUGGUUUUUUUCUUUUCUUAGACACAAUUCUGUUCUGCUGUUAAUUUAUCAGAUUGCUUUUGUGCAUCCGGUAACACCACCAUUCACAAGUUAAGAUUCUUGGGUUUUGGAUGUCUGUUAGAUGCUACUAAGAAAAUACAGAUGAGCUUCCUUUUUAAAGCUUUUGAUGUGGUGUCAUAGAAUAGCAUGUUGUAGAUACAAUCAGCUGCUUUGUUACCUUAAAACUAAGCAUUUGUAAAUAUUAAAACUUAAGAAGAUGGCAGGUGAUGUCCCUUAAAACACCCAUCUAUUCACAUUGGACAUAACUGACAUAGUUCUUCCUUUCUCUCUUUAAAAAUUAUAGGAGACUUGUAGCUCAGUAUUGUUUUUUUCUGUUUCUCUUUUGCUGCUGGUAAUGUAUAUGAAUUUAACAUGCUGUAUAAGCUGUGUCCUAGUUACUGAACAGUUUAUGCAGUGCUGCUUUGCCAAAUAAAGUUAAAAGUGAAAGAGGCA